UGCUAUCUGAUCUGUUGUAGCCCACGCCCUAACCGCCUGUUUGUGUGUCAAUUUUACUAUUUCUGUUAAUUUUGUGGGUAUGGAGUUCCUAUGUUGGGGUUUCUGGCGACAUCUGGGUCUUUUCUUGAUGCUCUGAGCACGAGGUGCCACCUCAACUGUGAUCGGCAGAUGCACCCGGAGGACAGACUGCUGCGCUGAGGACACCCAGGAGGAAGGGAAAAGCCCAUCUGGGUCCCUGAACGGGGUGUCUGUUAUGUGGACCUUGACGCUGCUCCUCACGCUGGCCCUGAUCAAGACAACCCAGACAACACUGAGCAGACCAGCAAGGGAAGUAUGGGCCCUUGUGAGGAAUCCACCCAUUCUGAUGCCGGUCAGCCAGAGUAGCUCCCUGUUCCCUGCCUUUUUCAGCACCAAUAACACAUUGGGGAUGGCAGCAUUCAACAUACAGUUGGAACAGAGACCACUAUCUAAUUUGACCCUUUUGCUGAAAGGUAGCUUAUCCUUUAGGCAUAUCCAGAAUAGUAGUGAAUUGCCAUCGAGCACCUCCUUUAAAGGUCACUGUGUGGUGUUGAGUAAUUCCUCCAUUGCUGACUUUUCCCCCAAUAGUAGUAUUAGUAAAAUGCUGGGAUUAAGGAAUAUCCUAUAUCCCAUUAAUCAACAGAGAAAUAAUUCAACACAAAGCCCCCCUAAGCCAGCCCCCCGUGUGCUGGCAGAGAGGGAGAGAUUAUUCAUUUUCUUCCCCCUUGCUUUGGGGGAGAAUGCAUUACUCAAGAGUCCUGGAUAUUGAAAGGAGAAGGUCCUCUCUGGUGAUUCAGACACCGACCACCAUUUAAGAAUGCUUCCGACUGUGGAGAAGAACAAGGGUAACCCUCACCUUCUCCAGGAUGUAUUUAUGGGGGCCUUGGGCCUGCACCGACGCCCGCCCCCUUAUGUUCCAGCAAGGCCUUGCCUUUAACGCAACAGCCAGCUGGAACACCUCCCAAACAUUGGAGGCAUCAUUAAAGGUUAAUUUUAGUAAGGUUUGUGUGCUAGCUCCCUUUUUCUUUGUUACAUGGAAUGGGAUGGAAGAGGGGGGAGAAUCUCUCAAUUUUUUCUUCCAGCUCCUGUGUCCUGAGUAACUGCUAGCCUCCUGAGAAUGCCAAUGCCCUGAUUGUCCGAAUCUCCUUCCUAGCUACCAUGGUUGUGGAAGACCACCGUAUCGGGGAAGAAAUCAUUUUGUAUGGGACCAGAAGAGAUUUCGGGAUCACUGCUGCUGUUGGUGCUGCGAUUGCCAUCUCAGCGACUGGCGCCGCCGUUGCAGACAUUGCCGUUGCUCAGUCCUGCUUCCAAUGCAGAGACUGUUAAUAACCUUGGUGGCAGAGUCAGCGAGGUCCUGGCCAUACAGAAUACUCUAAAUUCCCAUAUUCAGUUUGGUUUAAAAAUGUUUCUAUGGGAGUGCCCAGAAUGAAUGCAUAAUUGGCUGGACCCUGGAAUGAUUCUUUUGUAAAUUUUACCAAUGUUUUGGCUCAUCAGAUUGUAGAAAUUAAUAAGAUGAGGGUUGUUCCACUCUCAGGUGAGGGGUGGUGAAAUGCC
ensembl:lncRNA